rnacentral:rRNA from 1 species
UCAGAACGUACGCUGGCGGCACGCUUAACACAUGCAAGUCGAGCGAAGUAGCAAUACUUAGUGGCAGACGGGUGAGUAACAUGUGGGUAUCUGCCCUUUGGCCUGGAAUAACACGAGGAAACUUGUGCUAAUACCGGAUAAGUCUUUACGGAGAAAGCUUUAUGCACCAUUGGAUGAGCCCGCACUUGAUUAGUUUGUUGGUGGGGUAAUGGCCUACCAAGACUGUGAUCAAUAGCUGAUUUGAGAGGAUGAUCAGCCACAUUGGGACUGAGACACGGCCCAAACUCCUACGGGAGGCAGCAGUGGGGAAUCUUGCACAAUGGAGGAAACUCUGAUGCAGCGAUGCCGCGUGAGUGAAGAAGGCCCUUGGGUUGUAAAGCUCUUUCGUCGGGGAAGAAAAUGACUGUACCCGAAU